UGCAAUGAUAUAAUUUUACAAUUGCAUGUACUAUCAGAUUUUCAGUUAUGGUUACCACUAAUGUCUGAAAGA
rfam:Brassica rapa chromosome A8, whole genome shotgun sequence.